UGGGAUGACCGGGCAAUCGCCCCCGCACAUUUGUGCCAGGGAGGAAAGUCCGAACACCAACAAGCGCCGUGCUUCCUAACAGGAAGGUCCGGGUAACCGGACAGCUAGUGCCACAGAAAACAGACCGUCCGCCAGUCGGUGGAUAAGGGUGAAAAGGUGAGGUAAGAGCUCACCGUUCUGCCGAGUAAUCGGGAGAGGCUUGGUAAACCUCACGGGGUGCAAGCUCAUGCAGGCCGUGCGCUGCUUGUCGUAUUACGGUCGGGUGGAGUGCUAGUUAUUCCGGAGUGAUCCGGGAUGCAGAUAAAUGAUUGCCAUCCGCCAACCGGCGGAUACAGAAUUCGGCUUACAGGUUAUCCCUUAUU
rnacentral:RNase_P_RNA from 1 species